AACCCAUAUUUGUCUAACUGGGUUUCGGGGUCCCUUGCACACAGAAAAGUAAAAUUCAGAGAAAAACCCUCCGAAAUUUUCCACCAAAAUUCGGAGAAAAAUCGCCGGACUGAGUGUGGGAUUGAAGGUAAGAACUUGUUUUCCACCAAAAUAAAUUAUGUCCACAUGCUUCCUUCGUUAACCCGAGCUUGAAACCUUCCGAUUCACCUAAGACUUUCGGCUGAAGGAGACCGCGACCAUGCAAUCAAACUAGUUUCUUCCGACGGGGAUUUAGCUACUUCACUUGUGAAAGAAUCUGGAAACAACUUGGUGGCAUAUGGAUGGACAGAAUGAUGGAGAAAGGAAAAGAGGUUGUGGAAGUAUUGGACAAUGAAGUUUUAGUAGAAUCCAAUAAUAACAACAAUACGGAGAAUGUCGUCAAUAAUACAAACAAUGUUGUCACAUUAGACGAUGAUAUCAUAGGAGGAGAUGGCGUGAUUGUGCCAAAUUGGUAUGGAGUUCAAAGAUGAGAAAGAGGUGUAUGAGUUUUAUAAGAGGUAUGCGUAUCACGUAGGUUUUCCGGUUAGGAGGAAGAAUUCUAGAAAGGGAGAAGAUGGAGUAGUGAAUUACGUUACGUUGACAUGUUGUCGUGAGGGCUGGAGAAGUAGUAAUGCAGGUGCUUCUUUGAAGCCGCAUCCAACAAUUCAGACAGGUUGCAAAGAAAGACUUACUGCUACUUCGAUAUUCGUCGAAUUUGGAAAAUUCGCACAAUUGAUCUCAAACACAAUCAUAAAACUAGUCCUUCAAAAUCCAGAUUGUAUCGUUGCAAUCGAGAAUUGAGUGCAAAUGUCAAACGCAAGCUCGAAGUGAACGAUAUGACUGGAAUACCUUUGCACAAGAGUUACAACUCAUCAGUUGUUGAAGCAGACGGGUAUGAGAACAUGACUUGCGUGGAAAAAGAUUGUCAAAAUUACAUUGAACAAGUGAGGCGAUUAAGACUCGGUGAAGGAGAUGUUGCGACAAUACAAUCCUACCUUUCACAAAUGCAAGCACAGUGCUUAGGUUUUUACUUCUAUAUGGAUUUAGAUGAAGAGUCACGGAUUAGGAAUCUCUUCUGGGCAGAUAAGAAGUGUAGGCAAGCAUAUAAGGAGUUCGGGGAUGCAGUGACGUUUGAUACCACUUAGCUCACAAAUAAAUACGGCAUGCCUUUUGCCCCCUUCCUUGGAGUAAGUCAUCAUGGACAAUCAACACUCUUUGGAUGUGGUUUGUUGGCAAAUGAAGAUACAUAUACAUUUGUUUGGCUAUUCAGGACAUGGAUGUAGUGUAUGCAUGGUCAAGCACCAAAUGGAAUCAUUACCAAUCAAGACAAGACUAUGCAAAAUGCAAUUGCGAUAGUCUUUCCAAAGUCGAGGUAUAGAUGGUGUUUGUGGCAUAUAUUGAAAAAGUUGCCGGAGAAGUUUGGGUACCACGUUCAGAAGGGCUCCAUUUUUUUGUCUAUACAUAGCUUAGUGUAUGAUACACAAGUCGUUGAGGAAUUCUAAGAAGGUUGGAAAGCUAUGCUUGAUACAUAUAACUUACAUAAGAAUGAUUGGUUGUUGGGGUUGUUUGAGAACAAGGGUCGUUGGGUGCCAUGUUAUUUAAAAACAACAUUUUAGGCGGAGAUGUCAAUAACUCAGCGCAGUGAGAGUAUGAAUGUGUUCUUCGAUGGUUAUGUGCAUUCUAAGAUAUCGUUGAAAUAGUUCGUCGAACAAUAUAAGCGAGCAUUACGAAAUAAAUUUGAGAAGGAAUUCCAAACAGAUUUCAAGUCUUACUCAUAGAUGGUAUUCUGUGCAACAAAAUAUGAAAUGGAAAAGCAAUUCCAGGUUGUUUAUACCAUUUCAAAAUUUUGGGGAUUUCAAGAUGAGAUAACUGGGAAUGUCUACUGCGAUAUGAUAUCUGCAUUUGAUAUAUGUUCGGAGAAGUUGUAUGAGGUUGAGGAGGAUGUCAUUUACAAAGAAAAUGUUAGAAAGAAAAAGUUUUCAGUCACAUUUCGAGCAGAGGAUUGCAAUGUUAUUUGCAGUUGCCACUUAUUCAAGUUUCGUAGCAUUUUGUGUAGACAUGACAUAUCAGUGUUGAUGCGUCAUGGCGUCACAUCACUAUUGGAGAGGAACAUAUUGAAGAGAUGGAGACGAGAUAUUAGUAGAGCCCACACGAGGGUUGUUGUGAAUUACUCCGGUUUGGUUAGCACUCCUAGCCAGUUGAGGUAUGAUAAAAUGGGUGAAGUGUUCGCGAUGUUGGCAAACAGUGCUGCCAACGAUGAAGAGCGAACUCGUGCGAUAAUAGAUUGGAUUCAAUCGUAGUCCAAAGACAUGAUGUCUACGAAGACGAGUUGGGCAGCAUCGACUUCCAGCAAAGGAUAGAGAUCGAGAGCAGCAAAAAACAAUCUUCGACCCGACACACCAUUCGUUCAGUCCUCGCCACAUGUACAAUAUUCAAUGAUGACACAAUUCUCAAAUUCACAAGUCAUAGCUGAAAUUCUUGGACUAAAACAAAUUUACGAAGGGAAAUACAAGUUUUAUUGCUUCACGUAGGGUGACAGGGAAAGUCACGCACUAACCCAACAAGUGCCAUCUACAAAUUUUAUUCCCGCGUCAACAUCGAAUGUUUUGUUCAAAUAUCCCGGGAAUACAAUGUUAUUGUCCCGAUUUGUCGUACAAUGUUGGAACACAAUUGGGAAUGACAUCGUUCACAAUUGAUGUUUUUCCUCUUGGAUUUCAUGGUACAUUGUCUUCACCAACUAACAUAGCAGAUUGGAUGUCCAGUCCCCCCCCAUACCAUUCCACAUGCUGCUAUUGCUGGAGGUCGUUCUACUCUUGUUCAGAAUCUGAGUUCACGAAUGGCUCAUCAAGAUCCUGCAAGUGAUAUUGCAAUGAAAUCUCAAGAUGCUGGUUUAUCAAGGGGACUACUAUUUAAUUCCUGCAAUGUAACUCAAUAGGCUAGUAAAUGAUUUUAUUUUUUUUCAAAAUUUGUUGUCAACGAAUGGUAUUUUCUUGUAGAUGUUUUUUCUUUUGGUUUUUGAAGAAAGUGUACUUGUGUGGUUAUUAAUUUGUAGAAUUAGAUGCUGCUGGUGCUAUCUUGCUAUUGUCGUUUAAACAACAUUGACAAAUGUUGGAGGAUUUAUUUGUAAAAUUUCCUUCAGUGCAAAUGUAACUGUUAAUUUCCUAGUA